UGUGUUCCAGAACCUAAAAGUUAGUACUAAUUAGUGCUAAUUCUACUACAACGCGUUCCCGUACUCCAAAAACUAGCAAAACUUGCAGCUCUCUCGAGAAUAAAAUGGCGCUGAGUGGUGCACAUUUCUGCUUGUUUUAGCUACAUGAAUUUGGCCGAGCAGAAAUGUGCAAAUUGUAAAUUUGACAUUUAAUUGGCAGGGCUAACAAGGUUGAAAAAUGUAUUAAUACGUUUCAAUGUUCGCGCGUAACAACAAAUGUAAAGAAAAAAGAUUAACUUAAAAAAUAAAGAAUAACUAAUAUUUGUCGUGCAAAAAACAAAAAGAGAAAAUAUGGAGCAACUGAUGUAUUCACUUUUGGAUGAUUCCAGCAGUAAAGAGGAUUGGCUGAAUGAGGAAUCAGACGAAGAAAACGUAUUGGAAAACAGUGCAAAAUUAGUAAAAGGUUGGCUGUCUUCCUAACUUGUAGCAUUAAGUCUUCUUGCAGACUUAACAUUAAUUUAACCGGCGCCUCCAACCAUGUGAGCUUUUCCGGGUUGGGAUUUGAGAAAACUCCACCUCUAAAUACUCUUCAACGCAUUCUGAAAACAAAACUUUCUAAAUAAACACCAUUCAAAAAUAA